GAUUGAGCACCACUGUUCUAAAAGGAUGUAAAAUGUUCCAUUUCUGCUGGUUAAAAUUCAGAAAGUUACCAACUCAAAAGCUUCAGGAUGUCUUUGAACCUGACCAAUGCUCUCGACCCACCCUGACCCACCAAGACUACAUAAGCAUUAAGAACUGCUCAGAGGCAUUCUCAGACCAGUGGAGGUUAACUGGUUCACUUCUCGGAAGCCCUUUAUGCCUUUCUUUGUCACAUCAAAAUUUGAGGCGUCACUAUUGAUGUGUUUUGUGGACAUUCUUAAGCAAAACAAGGGUUAGUCAGCAACUGAAUUAGGGAGUAACUCAUUCUGGAACAAACCUCAACCCCGACCAAUGGGCACUGACCAAAACUGAUCCAAGCAGCUUUUGUGACACAGAACGUGACCAUCUCUGCUGAAUAUGAAGAAGUUGUGGAGAUUUU